UACAGAGGUCUCAAGCGUUGUUCGGAUUCAUUGGGCGUAAAGGGUGCGUAGGCGGCGCGGUAAGUCGGGUGUGAAAUCUUGGAGCUUAACUCCGAAACUGCAUUCGAUACUGCCGUGCUCGAGGACUGGAGAGGAGACUGGAAUUUACGGUGUAGCGGUGAAAUGCGUAGAUAUCGUGAGGAAGACCAGUGGCGAAGGCGGAUCUCUGGACAGCUCCUGACGCUGAGGCGCGAAGGCUAGGGGAGCAAACGGG
rnacentral:rRNA from 1 species